CAAGUACUCCCUCUGUCCGGAAUUACUUGUCAUAAAAAUGGAUGUGUCUAGAACUAAAAUACAUCUAGAUACAUCCAUUUCAAUGACAAGUAUUUACAGACGGAGGGAGUACAAG
rnacentral:pre_miRNA from 1 species